rnacentral:rRNA from 1 species
UGGGGAAUAUUGCACAAUGGGCGCAAGCCUGAUGCAGCCAUGCCGCGUGUAUGAAGAAGGCCUUCGGGUUGUAAAGUACUUUCAGCGAGGAGGAAGGUUGAUGGUAGGUUAAUACCUGCAGCAAUUGACGUUACUCGCAGAAGAAGCACCGGCUAACUCCGUGCCAGCAGCCGCGGUAAUACGGAGGGUGCAAGCGUUAAUCGGAAUUACUGGGCGUAAAGCGCACGCAGGCGGUCUGUCAAGUCGGAUGUGAAAUCCCCGGGCUCAACCUGGGAACUGCAUCGAAACUGGCAGGCUAGAGUCUUGUAGAGGGGUAGGAUUCAGGAUGUC